GGGGAAUUUUCCGCAAUGGGCGAAAGCCUGACGGAGUGACGCCGCGUGUGGGACGAAGGCCUUCGGGUCGUAAACCACUGUCAGUGGGAAAGAUGGGUGUCGGCGCGAUAACCGCCGGCAUCUGACGGUACCUGCAGAGGAAGCCCCGGCCAACUCUGUGCCAGCAGCCGCGGUAAUACGGAGGGGGCUAGCGUUGUUCGGAAUUACUGGGCGUAAAGCGCACGUAGGCGGCUACUCAAGUCAGAGGUGAAAGCCCGGGGCUCAACCCCGGAACUGCCUUUGAAACUAGGUAGCUAGAAUCUUGGAGAGGUCAGUGGAAUUCCGAGUGUAGAGGUGAAAUUCGUAGAUAUUCGGAAGAACACCAGUGGCGAAGGCGACUGACUGGACAAGUAUUGACGCUGAGGUGCGAAAGCGUGGGGAGCAAA
rnacentral:rRNA from 1 species